AGUCCUUUUAGAAAUGGGACACUUUCAUUUGCCAAUAGCUCGUUAACUAGUUAUUGGAUAUUAAAAAUUUUGACAGCAUUUUGUUGCCUGUAAAAAGUACUAUUUGACCUAUUUUUUUCAAAAUUUAAAAUUUACGCGUUUUUUAGAUAUGUACGAUGCAAGAGAAAAAGAAAAAAAUAAUUUUGCACAGUUUCCUAUAAAAUUCGUCAUUAUCAAAUUGAUAGCUGACAAAACCGUCGAUUAUUCAAAGAAUUACUGAGCUUUUGUGGUGGAUAAGCAUGCAAACACUGUCAAUAAUGUCCACAAAGUUCAAAUCAAGCAUUGAAGUGAAGCAAAUGAUCGGCAACAACGGUUAAGGAUCAUCAAAGAAGUCAAGUCUCAUACCAGCAUUUUUAAUUUUCAAUAAACGAAAAACUAAGGGUAGAUCGCUGAAAUGUCCAAAACAAUUUUCUGCGAUUAACUGAAAGUGUUGCGUAGUGAUGACUCAUUGAAAUCCAACCUCAAACAACCAUUUUUUGAUGGUUCCAAAGCUCUUAAGCUGUGAAACCGUUUCCAGUUUCCAGAGAAGUAUUGAACCAAAAAGUAUCAGAAAUUGAAGAAAGAGAGUGAAGCCACCUAAAAUAUAGAUUUUACGAAGUAUAAGUUGGAGAAACUGAUCAAUACCAUGACUAAAAAAAGUGUGCGCCGGCCAAUGGGAGAUACCAAGAAUAAAGUAGAAAUUUCUUUAACAAAAAACGAAAGUAUUUGGUUCAAACGAAUGGUUUUUGAGAUACAGGCAUUCGUAACUGUCCCAUUUCUAAAAGAACUAAGCUUUAG